rnacentral:rRNA from 1 species
AGAGUUUGAUCCUGGCUCAGAAUCAACGCUGGCGGCGCGCUUAACACAUGCAAGUCGCACGAGAAAGGGAGCAAUCCUAAGUAAAGUGGCGCACGGGUGAGUAACACGUGGAUCAUCUACCUUUUAGUGGGGAAUACCUCUGGGAAACCGGAGACAAUACCGCAUAAGCCCGCAAGGGGAAAGCAGCAAUGCGCUGAAAGAGGAGUCCGCGGCCGAUUAGCUAGUUGGCGGGGUAACGGCCCACCAAGGCGAAGAUCGGUAGCCGGCCUGAGAGGGCACACGGCCACACUGGCACUGAAACACGGGCCAGACUCCUACGGGAGGCAGCAGUGGGGAAUCUUGCACAAUGGGCGAAAGCCUGAUGCAGCGACGCCGCGUGAGCGAUGAAGCCCUUCGGGGUGUAAAGCUCUUUCGACGGGAACGAUAAUGACGGUACCCGGAGAAGAAGCUGCGGCUAACUACGUGCCAGCAGCCGCGGUAAUACGUAGGCAGCGAGCGUUGUUCGGAAUUACUGGGCGUAAAGAGUGUGUAGGCGGUGUUCCCAGUCUGUUGUGAAAUCUCCCGGCUUAACUGGGAGGGUGCAGCGGAAACUAGAAUGCUAGAGGGUGGGAGAGGUAAGCGGAAUUCCUGGUGUAGCGGUGAAAUGCGUAGAUAUCAGGAGGAACACCUGGUGUAGACAGCUUACUGGACCACUUCUGACGCUGAGACACGAAAGCGUGGGUAGCAAACAGGAUUAGAUACCCUAGUAGUCC